GAUAUCCUUGUUGUCUCUCUAUCAUAACUAUCCUCAAGGAAGAGUUGGGUGACUCGUCCAGUGGAAGUGCUGCACUCAACCCAAUUCCAUCGGCAACAAUUUCCCUUCCCCCAAGAAAUCUCUUCACCGUUAACACGAGGAAAGAAAGGUUUGAGUUGGAAGAGAGCAGCUUUCUCAAUCUCCCAGCACCCUUCACUUUGAUACCCUCCAAAUAAGAAAGCAACCACAAACCCACACCAAUUUCCAGUAAUCCAUCUCUCUUAAAACAAUGCCCACUCACUCUCAGAUAUUGGCAUGCACCACCACCACACCUUUGGGGUUUAUAUAAUAGUAAAUCUAAGUAUGUUUCCUGGAAAUUCAUUGAAUAGGCCCACUGUUGGAUUAAUUAUCUUUUCCCCUCUUUUUACUGCUAAAUAAUUAUUUGGAUAAUAAAACCACAGCACUGGGAUGCAGGUGUGUUAAGUUUAGUUCCCAUGCAAAGGUGGCCAUGCACGACAUGCAAAGGUGGUCAUGCUCGAAGAAAUAGCAGCAAGCAGUGGUGCCAUGGUGUGCAGCAACUGAAGUUUGAAGCUGCCAAUCCACUUGGUGUUUUUAGUUCCAUUUUGAUUGUUUUGUAAUCUAAUUCAUGUUGAACUAAGUAGGUAAAUGUUUUGAUAUUGAUUGACUGAAAAGUCAGCAAUGCAAGUUGUACAAGCUAAUCUUGUAAGUUUCAAUGCAAAUUAGUGGAGUUAGGUAGUUGAUUAGGUGAUUACUUGUUUGUUUUACUUGUUGACUGAAAUAUGUAAUGGCUUAAUGCCUUGUUGGUGUGUUAAUGAAAAAUAUCAGCUCAUUUUUCAUUCAAUCUUCUUCUCUCUUUUCUGUUAUUCACUAGCUAGUUUCAUUUUUCUGUUUUUGCUUCUGAGCUUGUUUCUUCACCAAGGCUCGAGGCUUGCUAUUCAAGCAAGAUACAAAACAGCCUGUUAUUGCCUCUUUGUUCCAACAAUUGGUAUCUAGAGCUUCAUUCUUAGUGGACCUGUUGUAUUAAACUAAGAAAGCUGAAUGUCUUCCUCAAGUUUUUCACCAGCAGCCCCACCAGUCUUCAAUGGAGAUGGCUUCCACUUAUGGCUGGUCAAGAUGAAGACUUACCUGCAGGCCUUUGAUCUGUGGGAAGUUGUUAACACAGAUGCUGAGCCAGCACCACUGAGGGCUAAUCCCACAGUAGCUCAGAUAAGGCAGCAUGCUGAUGAGAGGACCAAAAGGCAUAAAGCCAUGUCCUGCAUCCAGAACUGUGUAUCAGAUGUCAUCUUCACCAGAAUUAUGGCCUGUGAGACUCCAAAACAGGCCUGGGAUAAGCUUAAGGAGGAGUUUCAAGGCACUGAGAGAACAAGGCAACAGCAGCUAUUAAAUUUGAGAAGGGAUUUCGAGAAUCUGAAGAUGAAGGAAGAAGAAACAGUGAAGCAGUAUGCAGACAGAAUCAUAGCAGUGGUUAACAGUAUAAGGCUCCUUGGUGAGCACUUUGAUGAGGCAAGAAUUGUGGAAAAGGUCCUCUCCACUUUGCCUGAGAGAUAUGAGGCCAAGAUAUCCUCCUUAGAGGACUCAAGAGACCUUGCUACCAUCUCUUUGACUGAGCUAAUCAACACUUUCUAUGCUCAGGAACAAAGGAGAGCUAGCAGAGCUGAAGAUCACCAGGAAGGUGCAUUCAAUGCCAAGGCCAAAGAAGCCUCGAGCUUCAAUGCUCCAAGAGGUAAAAGGCCUUGGAAAAACAGGCCUAAGCCUGAUACUGCAAGGAGUAAUGACCAGCCCUGCAGACAUUGCAAGAGGCCAGGUCAUCCAGAAGACAGAUGCUGGUUUAGGCCAGAUGCAGUAUGCCAACACUGCAAAAAGAAGGGCCAUGUUGAAAGGGUCUGUAAAAACAGGAGUAAGCCAAGGCAGAAUCAAUUUCAGCAGUCAAAGGUUGAAGCUCGAGUAGCUGAGGACAGUAGUGACCAAGAAGAACAGGUCUUUGCUGUUUCCUGCUUAGCUGCUGAGAAGAAAUGCUCAGAAGGGUGGUUGUUGGACAGUGGUUGCACUAACCACAUGUCACCAGAUGCCUCCUUGUUUAAAACCUUGGACAGAAGUUAUAAAACCAAGGUCAAGGUUGGAAAUGGUCAGUUUAUAAGGGCUGCAGGAAGAGAAGAAGUGCUGAUAUGUACUCCCACAGGCAACAAGAUCAUUCCAAAUGUGCUGUUGGUGCCAGAGAUUGACAGAAACCUUCUCAGCAUAGCUCAACUGCUCGAGAAAGGUUAUUCUGUUGUGUUCAAGGACAAACAAUGCCACAUUACUGAUCCAAGUGGAUCAAGCCUUAUGACAGUCACAAUGACUGAUAAAUGCUUUGAGGUUCACUGGGCAAAUGACUCAAACUCAGCAUACACAACCUCUGUUGAUGACUCCAAGCUUUGGCAUCAAAGGCUUGGACAUGCCAACUUCAGAUCAAUGGUUCGAAUGGCCAAAGAGGGCUUGGCAGAGAACUUCACCAGCUCAGUGGAGCAUGAUGAUGUGUGUGAAGUUUGCCAGAUGGGGAAACAGGCAAGACUGCCAUUUCCUACAAAUUCAGCUUGGAGAGCUACUGAAAGACUGCAGCUGGUGCACUCUGAUGUAUGUGGCCCGAUGAGGACUGAAUCACUCAGCAAAAACAGGUAUUUCAUCCUCUUCAUUGAUGAUCUUACAAGGUUUUGCUGGAUUUUCUUCUUAAAAUACAAGUCUGAGGUAGCUCAAGUGUUUGUGAAGUUUAAAACUGCUGUAGAGACAGAAACAGGUUGCAAGCUGAAAUCGAUAAGGACAGAUAAUGGCACUAAGUACACUUCAGCUCAGUUUCAAGCCAUUUGCAAUGAUGCUGGUAUCAAACAUCAGCUUACAAAUGUCUACACACCUCAGCAGAAUGGGGUAGCUGAAAGAAAGAACAGAAGUCUGAUGGAUAUGGCCAGAUGUCUCCUGUUUGAAACGAAACUGCCCAAGACCAUGUGGGCUGAGGCAGUAAACACUGCUGUUUACCUUCAGAAUAGGCUUCCUACCAAAGCUCUUGCAUCCGAGACACCUUUCGAGGCUUGGUUCAGUUUCAAGCCUUCCUUGGCACAUCUGAAGGUGUUUGGUUGCCUGUGUUAUGCACAAAUACCAGCAGCAAAAAGAGACAAGCUCUCUAAAAAGGCUCAACCAGGUGUUCUAGUAGGCUACAGCUCAGUCAAGAAGGGCUACAAGGUUCUGGAUCCCUUGACAAACAAAGUCCAGGUGAGCAGAGAUGUCAUCUUUGAUGAAAAAGCCUGCUGGAAUUGGGAGAAAAAUGAGCCAGAAGCAGUUUCAGAAGACCUAGUGCCUAAUCAAGGUGAACUUGAGCAGCUAGGACCUGAAAUGGAUGUUGAUGAUGUGCCUGUGAGAGGCACAAGGCCCCUAGAAGAUAUUUAUGAAAGGGCACAGGUUGCAAUAGCAGAACCUAGCAGUUUUGAAGAGGCUGAGGCAGAUGAAGGCUGGAAACUAGCUAUGGUCAAUGAAAUCAACAUGAUUGAGAAGAACCAGACAUGGGAGCUAGUUGAUAAACCUGCUGGAAAGAAGACCAUUGGAGUAAAAUGGGUCUAUCGAGUAAAACAGAAUGCAGAUGGCAGUUUGAACAAGCUAAAAGCCAGGCUUGUUGUCAAAGGAUUUAGCCAAAGGUAUGGUCUGGACUACCUGGAGACAUUUGCACCAGUAGCCAGGCUUGACACAGUUAGAAUGAUAGUUGCCUUGGCUGCUCAACAUCAGUGGACCAUUCAUCAGCUUGAUGUUAAGUCUGCAUUUCUCAAUGGCUUCCUGGAAGAAGAGAUCUACAUCGAGCAGCCUCAAGGAUUUGUGAUCACUAGCAAAGAACACAUGGUGUACAGACUGAAAAAGGCUUUAUAUGGCCUGAAACAGGCUCCUUGAGCCUGGUAUGCUCGAAUUGACUCUUACUUGCUCAGUUUGGAAUUUGAGAGAAGUCCCAGUGAACCAACACUGUAUGUGAAGAAGAACCAAGCUGAAACUCAGCUUAUCCUGUCACUCUAUGUUGAUGAUUUAUUGGUAACUGGAGGAGAUGGAAGAAUGCUGGAAGAUUUCAAAAGAAAAAUGAUGAAAAUGUUUGAAAUGUCUGAUUUAGGCAGAAUGAACUACUUCCUUGGAAUGGAAGUGAAGCAAACAGAAAAGGGAAUCUUUCUUAGUCAGAGUUCUUUUACUAUGAAGAUCCUGGAUAAGUUCUCUAUGAAGAACUGCAAGCCAACAAGCACACCAAUGGCUGUUGGAGUGAAGCUUUCGAGGCAAGGGAGUGGUGAACCAAUUUGCGAGACUAUGUACAAGAGUCUCAUUGGUAGUCUGUUGUAUUUGACUGCAACAAGACCCGAUAUCAUGUUUGCUGUUAGUGUGCUAUCGAGAUACAUGAAUUGCUGCAAUGAUCAGCACUUUCAAGCAACUAAAAGAGUGCUAAGAUACAUCAAAGGCACCAUUGAUCAUGGUGUAUUGUUCAAAAGGGCUGAAAACAUGAAGCUGAUAGGCUAUGUUGAUAGUGACUGGGCUGGAUCGAGUGAUGACAUGAGGAGCACAUCCGGAUAUGCAUUUAGUCUUGGCUCAGGCAUGUUUUGCUGGAGUUCUAAGAAACAAAGUCAGGUGGCACAAUCAACAGUAGAAGCUGAAUAUGUUGCUGCUGCAUCUGCUGUGAAUCAAGCCAUAUGGCUUAGAAAAAUCUUGGCUGAUUUAAACCAAAACCAAAAGGAGGCAACAGAGAUUUAUUGUGACAACAAAUCUGCUGUUGCAAUUGCAAAAAAUCCCAUUUUUCAUGGCAGAACCAAGCACUUCAAUAUUAAGUUGCAUGUUAUAAGGGAGAUGGAACAAGCUCAUGAAAUCGAGCUGAUUCAUUGCAAUUCAGAAGUGCAAAUUGCUGAUAUCUUCACAAAGGCACUCAAUGUGUCUAAAUUUGUUAAAUUCAAAAGGGAAUUAGGUGUUACUAGCAUGGAAACUAAGGAGGAGUGUUAAGUUUAGUUCCCAUGCAAAGGUGGCCAUGCACGACAUGCAAAGGUGGUCAUGCUCGAAGAAAUAGCAGCAAGCAGUGGUGCCAUGGUGUGCAGCAACUGAAGUUUGAAGCUGCCAAUCCACUUGGUGUUUUUAGUUCCAUUUUGAUUGUUUUGUAAUCUAGUUCAUGUUGAACUAAGUAGGUAAAUGUUUUGAUAUUGAUUGACUGAAAAGUCAGCAAUGCAAGUUGUACAAGCUAAUCUUGUAAGUUUCAAUGCAAAUUAGUGGAGUUAGGUAGUUGAUUAGGUGAUUACUUGUUUGUUUUACUUGUUGACUGAAAUAUGUAAUGGCUUAAUGCCUUGUUGGUGUGUUAAUGAAAAAUAUCAGCUCAUUUUUCAUUCAAUCUUCUUCUCUCUUUUCUGUUAUUCACUAGCUAGUUUCAUUUUUCUGUUUUUGCUUCUGAGCUUGUUUCUUCACCAAGGCUCGAGGCUUGCUAUUCAAGCAAGAUACAAAACAGCCUGUUAUUGCCUCUUUGUUCCAACAAGGUGGCUGGACUCAGAUUCUAGAAAGACUUAUGCUUUAGUUUUUGUAGAAUUAAAUUUACUUAACCUUAUUUAUAACAUUUAGUUAAUGGAUAUUAAAUAUUUGCAUAAACUCAAAUUUCUUAGUACUUUCCUGCGGAUCUUUCUUUGUGGAAAUACACUCAAAUUUCUCCAAAUAUUUCUUUGUGAAAACGUUAUUUGCGGAAAUACAGUCAAAUUUCUGCGAAUCUUUCUUUGUGGAAAAAUAUAGUCAAAUUUCUUCGUACUUUCCUGCAAAUUUUUCUUUGUGGAAAAGUAAGCAAACUCAGGCCGUGAAGAACACUCUCACCUCAAUUAUACAGUAGCUUUGACCACAAAACGCUAAAUUAAUAAAAAUAUAUAUUUAAAUUUUAUUAUUUUAUUUAAAUAAUUCUAUUUACUUUUGUUAUAUUUAAACAAAUUCUUAAAUUAUAACAUUAAUUUAAUAUUUCCCUUAAAAGAUUUUUUUUCUUAAAUAAAAAUAAAAUAAAAUAGAAAGAAAUGUUUUUUUAAAACGUAAAGUUGCUGAAAUAUUAUUUUAAGAUAUUAAUCUUGAUAAAUGUAUUGAUACUAAACCAAUAGAACGUAUGCUCCACUAAAAUGAAUGUGGUUGAGGAUUAUUGAUUUCUUGAUUGCAUUAUUGAUGAGGGGUUAAUAAUUUAUUUUAAUUUUUUAUCCGUGCAAUGUACAAAUCGAUUGUGUAUAUCAAUUAAAUAUAUUAAAUAUUUUUUAUUUUGUAUAAGUUUCAUGAAUGGAAUAAAGAAAAAUACAAAUUGAUUAUUAAAAAAAAUGUUAAAACUAGUAAGUGAAACAAUAAUUAAAAGGAAUAAAUCUUAAAAUUAUAGAUGAACUUUGGUAAUGUGCGAUUUCUUAGGUUCAAAUCUUGCCUAAAUCAACCUCUUCUCAAAAAUAAGAAUUCUUGCAGAAAUAAUUUAAGGCACUAAAGCAAAGUAGGAGCAAACUCAAAAGAAAAAGAAGUUAUGAACGAACAAAAAUAUCAUAGAAAUAUAACAUACCAAGUGUUUGAGUAAAUGUUCUCAAAAUUAUUCUAUUACUUUUGCAACUGAAUGAUUACAUACGAGGAGAAGACAUCUAUUUAUAGUUAAAGCUCCCUCAAAACUAACGGUAUAAAUUAAAUUACAUCGACAAUUAAGAUUUGUACCUAUGUAUAAUAUUGUAUCUUUUCUUUACAAUGUCGGAUUAUAAGUGAGACAAUCCAAGCAAAGAAGACAGUAAGUGAAUUGGAACAGUUUUUUUUUAUAUAUAUAGAAUUGAAAUCAUGAGCCACUUCAUUGAAACUAGCCAAAUAAGAAAGAUGCAUAAAAAGCUUUUAUUGAGAAGAUGACAAACCACUAAAUCAAGUAUGACAUUGACAAAGAAAAGGUGAAGGUGUGAGCAUGGCUUGGCUAAAUGGUUUCUUAACGGAAUCGUUUAGGCAGAGUAUUGUCGAGCACAAAAUAGUAGUAGGACAUGGUGGCUGCUUCUACAUGAUAGAACCAAGCUUGUCUCCAGUAAGGAUUAAUGUACAGCACAAUGGCAAUACACAGUGGCAUCACAAUGUACGACCCAACAAAACUUGCACAAAAGACUUUCAUGUCAAGGAAACCCUCGUCAGUUGCAUUCCUCGGCAUUGAUGAAGAUGAUUCAUCUGUUGAGCAAUUCUUUGGCAAUGGUUCACCACAGAGGAAAGGAUUCCCCACGUAACUGCUUUCUUCAAAUGUUGCAAAUUGUCCGGUCCUUUGAGGUGUAGUUCCUAAUAAAUUAUUGUAUGCCACACUGAAAAAGGACAAAAAAUGUAACCCCACAAGUUGGGAAGGAAUAUUCCCACUCAAGUGGUUGUGAGAAAGAUCCAGACUCUCAAUUCGAGAUAAGUCAGAAAGUGCUGGAGGGAUUGGUCCUAUCAAACGGUUGUGAGAAAAAUUCAAAACGAUAAUGUAUCAGUUCUGGAAUUGGAGGGGAAUCUCACCAGUCAACUUGUUGCAAGAGAGAUCAAUUCCAGACAGGUAAGUGAGGACUCUUCCCUUAUAAAAGUAGGAUAUGCUUUUCAUGGUGACCUCUAUAGGCACAUCAGCAGAGAAAGAUCCGAUGUAACCGUUGUAAUCAUAGUCAGAAUAAUAAGCAUGGGAGCUAUCAUUCGAUAUUGUAUUCAUCAAGGAGGAAUUGUACCAGAAAGAUUGUUGUUAGAAACAUCAAUCAACCUUAACCGAUUUAACUUGCAUAAUUGAACUGGAAUCCCACCUUCAAAUUGGUUGUUAUCUAGGAGAAGAUAAAUCAACGCAAGAAGGCUGCCAAUCCAAUUUGGAAUGUUUCCAGUUAAGUGGUUGUUGCUAAGAUCCAAUGUUACCAAAUAAUUGCUGUUUAAAAAUCUGAUGAUCGGCCCUUUUAGCUUGUUUCUUGGUAAAUAAACAUGAGUGAGCCUUGAAAAGAUGAAGCAAGACGGCAAACUUCCCGAUAUGUUGUUAGCCGAAAGGUCCAAAAAUUGAAGACUAGAGUUGAGAUUGCAAAGUUCCAUGGGAUUGGACCUUCAAAACGAUUAUUUGCCAUCACAAGUUCUUCCAAAUUUGACAUCUUUCCCAUCCACCUUGGUAUCCCACCGAAAAGUGUGUUAUUGCUUAAAUCCAAUGUUAACAUAAGUGUCAGAUUCUCCAUGGAGCUUGGUAUAUCACCAAAGAGUUGGUUAUUGCUAACAUCGAAUAAUACCAACCCCAUGGGCAAGUGCCUCGGUAUUCCACCACUCAAUUUAUUGUUGGACAAGUCCAAUAAUUAAGGAAAAUCAUACCACCAAUCGAAAUCGGAAUACCACCGCCAAAAAAAUUAUUCGACAUGUUGAGAAGCUCUAAUGAUGGUACUUUUGCUCCGAUUUCAUUUGGGAUGUUGCCAUUGAGGGAAUUAUUGGAAACAUCCAAAUAUAAUAAACCCCUAUGAGAAGUCGGUGGUAGCUGAAAAUGUCCCGAUAGAGAGCUAUUAGCAAGAUGUAGUUCCUUUAAUUUCUUGUUGUUUUCCAACAACCAGUUUGGGAACUGAUAUCCCUUGAAAUUGAUGUUAGAGAGAUCAACAUAUUCCAAGUCAUGUUGAUGAUUGAGAGAUUGAGGAAAUGAUCCACCAUCUCCGCAACAAGAUAAAGUGAUAGAUCUCAAUUGGAAUGUUGGGGUGUCUAAAGAAUGCAUCUCUGUUUCAGCAUUAUAUAUCAUGUUGUUGUCUGCAUAUAAUUUUUGGAGUUUUGAAAUGUUGAACAACAGAGCCAAUGAACUUGGGAUCUCAAUCUUAUUCUUCGAAAGCCUUAACUCUCGGAGGGAUGUUAGACUCUUAAGAUGAGAUAUAUUUCCAGAAAACUUAUUGGAAGAGAGAUCUAAAUACUCGAGUGACGUUAAAUUUUUAAGCACAAUUAUAUCUCCAAAAAAACUGUGGAAAGAGAUAUCUAAAUACUCGAGUGAUGUUAAAUUCUCUAACAUAGAUAUAUUUCCAAAAAAAUUAUUGGAAGAGAUAUUUAAAUACUUGAGGGAUGUGAGUUCAGAGAAGCACUCAGGCAAACUAGCAUUCCAAUAAUUGUUGAUGAUGGCCAGCGUUUGUAGCUUCCUCAAUUCACAAAAAUCUGCAAACAAAUUGGCAUAUGAAAUGGUUGAACACUAUUUUGACAUUGUAAAGGGUAAAAGUACCAUAUUAGUCCUUAUACUAUAUCUUAAAUUUUAUUUUAGUACUUUUACUGGAAAAAAUGGAUAAAUUUAUCCCCGUCCGUUAAAUGAAUGAGCAAAAUAAUGUUAAUUGCUUAUUUUGGUGUUCUACAUAUAAGGCAUAAUAACAAGUUUAGCCCUUUAAUUGCUUAUUUGGUGUUCUAUAUGUAAGGCAUAAUAACAAAUUUAGCCCUCAACCUUUAUACAUUUAUUAAACUUAGCCUCUAGUCUUUUAUAUAAGCAAGUUGACCUUCAAAUGUUUCAUUAUUGAUGUGACACAAUUUUAUAUUAAAUAUCAUAUUAGCAAAUAAUUUUAAAAUUAUAAAUAAUAUAAAUGUAAAAUAUAAAAGCUAAAGGAAUAAUAUAAAAUAAAAUAAUGGCACAUCAUCAAAGAAAUGUAUGAAGCUCAAUUUGUUCUAAAUAAAAGAGUAGAGGCCAAAUUAAAAAUUAUGUAAAGGUUAAAGAUUAAAUUUAUUAUUAUGUCUUAUAUAUAAAACAACAAAAUAAAAAUUUAAUAGCAUAAUUAUAAUGGAAGAAAUUAUUUUGUUGCUUUAUUUAAUGUACAGGAAUAAAUUUAUUUAAUUUUUAGUAAAAAAGCCAAAAUACAAUUCGAAAUGUGGUUCAAAGAUUAUUAUUAUGGUGCUUAAAGCUUAUGUAAUGCAUAUGUACUGCUUAAUGCUUAAUUAAAUGAUAUAUAUUUAGUUAAUCCACUAAUAAAAAGAUACAAAUUGAAGGGUAAAUUAUACCAAUAGUGAUUCAAUUUUGAUUUUAAUGACAAAAUAGUCACUCAACUUUCAAUUCAGUUACUCAACUUUUAAAAAAUAAUAAUUAGAUCACUAACGUUAUCAAAAAGUGACAAAUCAGUCAUCCAUUAACGGUUUCCAUUUUAAGCCUAAUGCGACAGGUGACGUGGCCAGUUAACUUGCUACUAUGAAAAUCAAAUUUAGGAAUCAAACAAAACAGUAAAAGAAGAAGAGAAGAAGAGAAGAAGAGAAGAAAUUUAUUGGGUUAAUGAUCAUUUUAUGGGUUUUAAUUUCUGGGUUAAUGGAAGUUUUUUAAAUUUCUUGUUAAUGAAUUUUUUUGGUAAAAAAAUUUAUUUUUGUUCUUUUUUUUUCCUCUCUUCUUCUUCUUCUACUGCCCCAGCUAGGCAGCAAACCCUCCAACUAACUAGUUAAAUGACAGCAAGAAGCCGGUUAAAUACUAGGUCACUUUUCCGUUACGUGUGUAACAGAAAAUGGUUAAUAGUAUUGAUUUGUUAUUUUUUGAAUGUUGAGUAACUGUUUUGUCAUUAACAUCAAAGUUGAGUGAUUGUUGAUAUAAUUUACCCUAAAUUGAAUCAAUAGAUGGAAAAUUUUAUAACAAUUUUGUGGCACCUUGAACUCAAGGCCAUUGGUAACGAGGAUGAUUUUGACAUGGAUGUUUUGUCAAUGGAAAAAUCAGAUGCGAGGAAAACUUAUUACUCAUAGCAUGAUGGUAUUUUAGGUUUUGAGUUUCUUUGUGUUUUUAGGUUAUUGUACUUUAUCAUAUUGGUGUUGUAAGUGUAAGGUCUUUGGAUUGUUGGUUUUGUUUUAAUUUUCAAGCGUUGAAGCGAGGGAUUUUAUUGUUUUGAGAGUGUUUUUAGAUUACGCUGUUUAUUAACUGUUAAAUAUGACUCCUAUUUUCAGUCAAAUUUGAAAAAUAAUCUUUCAGUUAAACUCUGUUUACUUGUUUCAAUCAAACACUGAUUAGUUUAGAUUAUUUUAUUAUUAUUUGAUCUAUGAAUUUAGCCUAUAAAUAGGCUCUUUUACAACCUUAGAAAAUAUGCCCAUUAAAGAUUAGAACUCAUAACACAUUUAGAGAAUUUUGUGUUUACAUUUUGUGGGUUCUUUGUUUUCGGGUUUUCGGAGUUUAGUUUUUAUCUCCAUCUUUUUGUACUCUUCGUUCUUUUGCCAUUAUAGUAAAAUUAUCUUUGCCCGUGGUUUUUUAUCCUCUUUGGAGGGGUUUUUCCACGUUAAAUUUGUGUGUUCAAUUUCUCAAUUUAUUCCGCUAUUUUCUUGUUUGUUGCUUAAUUGGGUCGAAAUCCUAACAAGUGGUAUCAGAGCUAGUUCAAUUUUCAUUGAUCAGUCCAUUCAAAGAUGGUAACAAUAAGGUUUGAAAUUGAGAAGUUCGAUGGUGAGACAAAUUUCAAUCUGUGGCAAGUUCGGAUGAUGGCAAUCCUAGUUCAAUCCGGUUUGAAAAAGAUUGUUACUGGGAAAAAGCCUAAGAAUCUAAAUAAAAUAGGAUGGGAAGAGCUUGAUGAAAAGGCUUUGUCUGCAAUCCAGUUAUGCCUCGCGAAUACGGUAUUGUAGGAGGUAUUGAUGGAGAAGACCUCAUCCGCUUUGUGGAAAAGGUUAGAAACUCUUUAUGCGGCUAAGUCUUUGACUAAUCGUUUAGUGUUGAAACAACGUCUAUUUACGUUUCGCAUGAACGAAGGUGAGCUUCUUAGAGAUCACAUCAGUCAAUUUAUUACUCUUUUAAAUGAUUUAAAGAAUGUUGAGGUUCAUAUUGACGAUGAAGAUCAGGCUAUGCUAUUAUUGUGCUCUUUACCCCCUUUAUACAAGUCUUUCAGGGAGACCCUGAUUUAUGGCAGAGACAAACUCUCGUUAGAAGAUGUGAAGGGUCAUUUGUUGAAUAGAGACAAACUCGACAAUGAGCUUCAUUUGGAUAGCAAGACAGAUAAGCAAGCUUCCAUUUUGGUAGCAUCAAAGAAACGAGAUAAAAUGUGUCGCUAUUGUAAAAAGUUAGGUCACGUCAAAGCAAAUUGUUAUAAACUGUGAAAUACAAAAGCUGCUGAGAGUAACGAGGAAGAUGUAGCUGGUGCUAAUUUGACUAUUUCUUUGAAGAGAGGUUCUCUUUUGGAUGCAAGUUUUGAAAAGUUAAGACACUGUGUUCGUGAAAAUCAGACCCGGGUUAGUUUUGAUUUGGCAGUGUACAAGUCGAAGGCUAGAAGUCUUCCAGUUUCUAAGCACAAAUUCGACUCAGUUAAUUCCCUGCAUAGUUCAAGAUAGGCUCGUGACGGGCUUUGGCAAAGAUGACGUUGUGGAAAUAUGAGUCAAUGUGGAGAUUUGUUAAAUAUGACUCCUAUUUUCAGUCAAAUUUGAAAAAUAAUCUUUCAGUUAAACUCUGUUUACUUGUUUCAAUCAAACACUGAUUAGUUUAGAUUAUUUUAUUAUUAUUUGAUCUAUGAAUUUAGCCUAUAAAUAGGCUCUUUUACAACCUUAGAAAAUAUGCCCAUUAAAGAUUAGAACUCAUAACACAUUUAAAGAAUUUUGUAUUUACGUUUUGUGGGUUCUUUGUUUUCGAGUUUUUAGGGUUUAGUUUUUAUCUCCAUCUUUUUGUACUCUUCGUUCUUUUGCCAUUAUAGUAAAAUUAUCUUUGCCCGUGUUUUUUUAUCCUCUUUGGAGGGGUUUUUCCACGUUAAAUUUGUGUGUUCAAUUUCUCAAUUUAUUCCACUAUUUUCUUGUUUGUUGCUUAAUCGGGUCCAAAUCCUAACAUUAACAAAGAUAACAAUUUAAGAAUUUGAAGAUCUGACAUGCAUCUGUCAAAAAGAUUAGAGUUUGGAUGAAUUGUCUCAAAAAAAAAGAAGAAGAAGAAAAGAUUGCAAGGAUUGCAACUUGUCUUUACCAUGUCAAAGAUAAUAUUAUGACUAGUUAAACUUCAAGUGUGUUUUCUUUUGUACAGAAUAGAAAUCAUGAGCCACUUCAUUGAAACUAGCCAAAUAAGGAAGAUACAUAAAAAGCUUUUAUUGAGAGCAUGACAAGCCACUAAAUCAAGUAUGACAUCGACAAAAAAAAAAGGUGAAUGAGUGAGCAUGGCUUGGCUAAAUGGUUCCUUAACGGAAUCGUUUAGGCAGAAUAUGGUCGAGCACAAAAUAAUAGCAGGACAUGGUGGCUGCUUCUACGUGAUAGAACCAUGCUUGUCUCCAGUGAGGAUUAAUGUACAACACCAUGGCAAUACACAGUGGCAUCACAAUGUACGACCCAACAAAACUUGCGUAAAAGACUUUCAUGUCAAUGAAACCCUUGUCAGUUGUAUUUUUCGACAUCGAUGAAGAUGAUCCGUUUGUGGAGCAAUUCUUUGGCAAUGGUUCGCCACAAAGGAAAGGAUUCCCCACGUAACUGCUUUCUUCAAAUGUUGCAAAUUGUCCGGUCCUUCGAGGUGUAGUUCCAGAUAAAUUAUUGUAUGCUACACUGAAAAAGGACAAAAAAUGUAACCCCAAAAGACGGGAAGGGAUAUUUCCGCUCAAGUUGUUGUGAGAAAGAUCCAGACUCUCAAUUUGGGAUAAGUCGGCAAGUGCUGGAGGGAUUGGUCCUAUCAAACUGUUGUGAGAAAAAUUCAAAACGAUGAUGUCUCGAAGGUAUUGGAAUUGGUGGGGAAUCUCACCAGUCAACUUGUUGCAAGAGAGAUCAAUUCCAGACAGGUAAGUGAGGACUGUUGCCUUAUAAAAGUAGGAUAUGCUUUUCAUGGUGAACUUUAUCGGCACAUCAACAGAGAAAUAUCCAAUGGAACCGUCGUAACCACUGUCAUCAUAAUUAGCACGGGAGCUAACAUUCGAUAUUGUAUUCAUCAAGCAAGGAGGAAUUGUACCAGAAAGAUUGUUGUUAGAAACAUCAAUCAACCUUAACCGAUUUAACUUGCAUAAUUGAACCGGAAUCCCACCUUCAAAGUGGUUGUUAUCUAGGAGAAGAUAAACCAACGUAGAAAGGGUGCCAAUCCAAUUUGGAAUAUUUCCAGUUAAGUGGUUGUUGCUAAGAUCCAAUGUCACCAAAUAAUUGCUGUUAAAAAAACUGGUGAUCGCUCCUUUUAGCUUGUUUCUUGAUAAAUAAACAUGAGUAAGCCUAGAAAAGCUGAAGCAAGAUGGCAAACUUUCCGAUAUGUUGUUGGCCGAAAGGUCCAAAAAUUUAAGAGUAUAGUUGAGUUUGCAAAAUUCUACGGGAAUUGGACCUUCAAAAUGAUUAUUUGCCAUCAGAAGUACUUCCAAGCCUGACAUCUUUCCCAUCCACCUUGGUAUCCCACCGAAAAGUGUGUUAUUGCUUAAAUCCAAUGCUAACAGUGACAUAUUCUCCAUAGAGCUUGGUAUAUCACCAAAGAGUUGGUUAUUGCUAACAUCGAAUAUUAACAACCCCAUGGGCAAGUGCCUCGAUAUUCCACCACUCAAUUUAUUGUUGGAGAAGUCCAAUAUCUGAAGGGAAAUCAUAUCACCAAUCGAAAUCGGAAUACCACCGCCAAAAAAGUUAUUCGACAUGUUGAGAACCAACAAUGAUGGUAGUUUUGCUCCGAUUUCAUUUGGGAUGUUGCCAUCGAGGGAAUUACUGGAAACAUCCAACCGUGAUAAACCCCUACGAGAAGUCGAUGGUAGGUGAAAAUGUCCCGAUAGAGAGCUAUUGACUAGAUAUAGUGCCUCUAAUUUCUUGUUGUUUUCUAACAACCAGUUUGGGAACUGAUCUCCCUUGAAAUUGAUGUUAGAGAGAUCAACAUCUCGCAAGUCAUGUUGAUGAUUGAGAGAUUGAGGAAAUGAUCCACCAUCUCCGCAACAAGAUAAACUGAUAGAUCUCAAGUGGAAUGUUGGGGUGUCUACAGAAUGCAUCUCAGUUUCAGCAUUAUAUAUCAUGUUGUUGUCUGCAUAUAAUUUUUGGAGCUUUGAAAGGUUGAACAACGGAGCCAAUGAACUUGGGAUCUCAAUGUUAUUGUUCGAAAGCCAUAACCCUCGGAGGGAUGUUAGAUUCAUAAAAUGAGAUAUAUCUCCAGAAAAUUUAUUGGAAGAGAGAUCUAAAUACUCGAGCGACUUUAAAAUUUUAAGCAUAUAUAUAUCUCCAAAAAAACUGUUGGAAGAGAUAUCUAAAUACUCUAGUAACGUUAGAUUCUUAAACAUGGAUAUAUUUCCAGAAAAAUUAUUGUAAGAGAUAUCUAAAUACUUGAGGGAUGUGAGUUCAGAGAAGCACUCAGGCAAACUAGUAUUCCAGUAACUGUUGAUGAUGGCCAGCGUUUGUAGCUUCCUCAAUUCACAAAAACCUGCAAACGUAACACUAUUCUAACAUUAUAAAGUGUAAAAGUAUCAUAUUAGUCUUUAUAUUAUAUUCUAGACUGUAUUUUGGUAUUUUUAUUAAAUAAAUAAAUAAAUUAAUACUGUAUAUUAAAUGAGUGAGCAAAAUAGUCCUUUUAUUAAAAUUAUGAUAUUAAUGCUUAUUUUGGUGUACUAUAGGCAUACUAACAAAUUUAACCUUCAACUUUUAUACCUUUAUUCAAUUUGGCCUCUACUAUUUUAUAUAAGUAAGUUGACAUUCAAAUGUUCCAGUGUUGAUGUGACAUAAUUUUAUAUUAUAUACUACAUCAAUAAAUAAUUUUAAAAAAUAAAUAAAAUUUUAUAAUUUUAAAAAAUAAUUAAAAAAGUUCUUCAAAAAAUUAAUAAAAUGUAAAUUAUAUAUAUAUAUAAAAGUUAUAGUAUAAUGAUAAAAGCAUCUAAUUGUAACAACACUUUAAUUUUCAGAUUAAAUUAAAAUGUCUAAAAGUUUAAUGAUUAAUUUAAAUUUUAAAUAAUUUUUUUAUGUUUUUCAUAAUUUUUUUAAAAAAUUAAAAAUGUCAUUAGAUAAAUAAAUAAAGACCAAUAUCAAAGAUUGAAACAAAACACCGCUGAUUGGUGAUGGGUAUUUUUGGGGUCCUCUUUAAUUUUCAUUUUUUUAUUAAAUACUCAUUUUAAAUUGGCAAUGGAACCGAAAUACUUUAUUCUUAGCGAAAAAUAUUGAAAAUGUAAUUUUUAAAUAAUUAAAUUAAAAUUUUAUCAUUUUAAGGGAGUUAAAAGUAUAAUUUUACCUUCACUAAUUUAAAAUUUUAAAAAAUUUAAAAGGUCAAAAUAGAAAAUUUUUUAUUUUAGGGGAGCAAGUGCUGCUAGGCCCCUAGAAUAUUCUCCCCUGCAUACAUGUAAAAUUUAUAGCUAAUCUUUAAUUAUCACAUUACUCUUAUAUAUUGAUUUUUCAAAGUACUUGUAGUAAAAUAAUUAUUUCUUGCUCUUUUUUUAAUACUUUAAAUUCUUUUGUAUUUCUAAAAAAAAUAUUUAUUUUUAUUGAAUAUUGUUUGAAAAACUUCUAUAAUUCUAGAUUUUUAUUGAGUGUUUUAAAAGCUUUUAGACAUUUAGAAUUAUUUAUGUUUAUUAUUUAUUUAUUUUUAAUUUUGAAGAGAUUCAAUUCAUAAUUUUUGGAAUUAUAAUUUUUAUUUAUACUUUACUGAAAUUUUUUAUAAUUUUAAACUUAUAUGUUGAUGUGAUAUAAAUAACAAAAUAAUGACACAUCAAUAAUGAAAGGCUUGGAACUCAAUUUGCUCUAAAUAAAAGAGUAGGGGUCAAAUUGAAAAAUAUGUAAAGAUUAAUGGCUAAAUUUAUUAUUAUGCUUUAUAUAUAAAACAACAAAAUAAUAAUUUAAUAGCACAAUUUUAAUGGAAGGGACUAUUUUGUUGCUUCAUCUAAUGUACAAGGAUCAAUUUACUCAUUAUCUAAUAGAGAGACCAAAGUGCAAUAUGAAGUAUGAUACAGUGAUUGUUGUGUUGCUUUUACACAUUAUAAAGGUUAUGUAAUAGAAACCUAGUAUUAUUUAAAGCAUAUGUACUGCUUAAUUGAAUGGUAUAUAUUUAGUUAAUCCAUUAAUAAAAAGAAAUAAAUUGAUGAAAAAAUUAUAAUGUAACGAGGAUGACUUUAACAUGGACGUUUUGUCAAUGGGAAUAUUAUAUGCGAUCAAAACUUAUUACUCAAUGUGUGAUGGUAUUUUAUGUUUUGUGUUUCUUUGUGAUUUUAGAUUAUUGUGCUUUAUUAUGUUGGUGUUAUAAGUGUAAUUUCUUUGGGUUAUUGGUUUUAUUUUAAUUUUUCAAACGUUGAAAUCAAGUUUUUUGAUGAUCGAGUAUUUCAUGUACAGCUUUGGGGGUAUUCUACUUCUUUAUCAAUAAAUUUAUUUUUGGCUAAAAUAAAAAGAAAAAAAAACUAAAAUUGAAAAAGAUGUAAUAAAUGUACCAUGUAAGUUGAGAUUAUCAUCAACAUCACAACCAUCAAUGACCAAGUCCUCAAGAGAAGUAAGGGUUCCAAUAUCUUGAAUAACGUUAGAAGUGCAGGAUGAAACCCUUAAGGUCAAUUCUUUCAAAUUUGUUAAAUUUUGCCAUCCUAUAAAAAAAAAACUUGUAAAUAUGAGUAUGUUAUGAAAUACAUAAACGCAAGUUCACAUAUUUCAGGUAAGUUGUAUAAAUAUUCUAAUAUAUAUUUUUUAGGUAAUCUAAAAAAUAACUUACUUUGGAUAAUUAUUGUCCCCUUCAAACUAAAGUUUUCUAAGGAAAGAGUCUUCAAUGACGGGAAUAUGUCCAAUGAUUGAAGUUGAAGGUUAACUACCACAGAAGAUUUUUUGAUGGAGAGCAGAAACGUUGCAAACAAAUAAAAUAAAGUAUAUAGCAUUAAUAAACUUUUUUUAAAAGUAUUAGGACAAAAUUAACAAAUUAAUUAUUGAAACACAAAUUUGUUCUAGUAAUACGUACCAUUUUCAUAACCACACCCUAAAUCCAGUUUCUCCAAAUUUUUCAAAGCAGGUAACCCUGAGAACAAUAUUCAUAGAUAAAUUUUUUUUUAAAAGAAAAACAAUGCUGUACUGGGAAGAGGAGGAGAGGGAGCAAACCGAUUUUACCUAUUGAUCCCUCCAUCGCAUAUCCAUCAUAUAAAGACAAAGACUUGAGAUUUGAAAGGGUACCCAGCGAUGACAAUAUGUAACUGUUGAAGACAUUCCCCCACAAAUUAAGCUCUUCUAGACUCAUCAACUUUAGUUCCCUUUUAUUAUCUGUACAAACACCAUAUAAAAUGAUAUAAGACAUUUCUUGUCCUGGUCUUACUUAUGUGAUUUGAACCUAAUUUGUAAAAAGCUAAUGAAAUAAUAAUCUGCUUAGUAUUUGCUUGUAAAUAGUAUUUAAAGAUAAUUCUUUUUCAUAUAUUAUAUAUUUUUCCAAAAAAAAAAAAUUGUUAAAUUACCUUGAGAUGGAGCAGAGUUCAUAACUUAUGUUCAGUAUCUUUAAAUUACUCAAAACAUUUAAAUCUGUAGAGAAAAUAACAAAAAAUUAAAACUUGUAAUGAGAAACUAAGAGAUGUAUAUAUUUUAAAGCAUACUUGCCUCGAAUAUAGCUCCACUCUGUCAAAUGGUUUCUUUCUAUAUUCAAAGAUUUCAAAUGCGGGAGGACGGCGAGAGAUGAAAAUUUGCUGCUGUUGAAAUAAUUAGAACUUAAAUCCAGCACCUCAAGUUUGGUCAACCUCGAUUGUCUUUUCUGUAGAAGUGUAAUUGAUAAUUGCAUAAACAGUAUUUUCAUUUUACUACUCAAAUGUUGUAUAUGUUAAACAUAAUUAUGUCCACUUACGCUUUGGAGGCUCACGAUUUUAUUAUCGUUUAGAUACAACUCCUUUAAGUUCUUUAAAUUAUCCAGUUCUGUUAAAGCACAAUAAUAUAUAUCAUCUAGUUAUUAAAAAAAAAAGUUUUCUCAACAUAAGCAUGAAACUUUACGAGUAACCUUACUUAAGAUAUCGAUGCUUCCUUGUAAUCCACAAUUCUUGAGAAAUAAAGUUUUUAGAGAUGUAAACUCGGUAAAAUGUGAUAAGAUGUUGUUUCCUGAUAAUAUGUUGUCGCUUAAAUCCAAAAUCUCCAACUUCAACCUCUUAAUGCCUGAUAGUCAUCCAAUAAUAUUAUAAAAUUAAAUAUUAAUGUAGUCACUACUUAUAUUAACUUUAGAUUUGAGUCUGUGAAUUAAUUGCUUUGAAGAUUUAAAACUUCAGUGAUAAAACUUAUAAUAAUUAAAUCCCUUUUAAAUAGAAGUUCGUGAUUAACAAAUAAAGGUUGCGGAUAAUAAGGUGAAGAUGGAUGAACCUUGAUUGUGAAUGAAACCAACAAUGUUGUUGCCUCCUAAAUUAAGACUCUUCAAUUCUUCGAAGGGAAGAAACAAAGAGAUGUUGAGAUACCAUCCCAGAUUGAUAUCCUUCUUCUCUAAAUCACAACUAUUCUCAAGGAAGAGUCGGGUGACUCGUCCACUGGAAGUGCUGCACUCAACCCAAUCCCAUCGGCAACAAUUUCCCUUCCCCCAAGAAAUCCCUUCACCGUUAACAAGAGGAAAGAAAGGUUUGAGUUGGAAGAGAGCAGCUUUCUCAAUCUCCCAGCACCCUUCACUUUGAUACCCUCCAAAUAAGAAAGCAACCACAAACACCCACACCAAUUUCCAAUACUCCAUCUCUCUUAAAACAAUGCCCACUCACUCUCAG
rnacentral:lncRNA from 1 species